rnacentral:rRNA from 1 species
AACGAACGCUGGCGGCAGGCCUAACACAUGCAAAGUCGAACGAGACCUUCGGGUCUAGUGGCGCACGGGUGCGUAACGCGUGGGAAUCUGCCCUUUGCUACGGAAUAACUCAGAGAAAUUUGUGCUAAUACCGUAUAAUGUCGCAAGACCAAAGAUUUAUCGGCAAAGGAUGAGCCCGCGUAGGAUUAGCUUGUUGGUGAGGUAAAGGCUCACCAAGGCGACGAUCCUUAGCUGGUCUGAGAGGAUGAUCAGCCACACUGGGACUGAGACACGGCCAGACUCCUACGGAGGCAGCAGUUGGGGAAUAUUGGACAAUGGCGAAAGCCUGAUCCAGCAAUGCCGCGUGAGUGAUGAAGGCC